rnacentral:rRNA from 1 species
GAUGAACGCUGGCGGCGUGCCUAAUACAUGCAAGUCGAGCGAACAGACGAGGAGCUUGCUCCUCUGACGUUAGCGGCGGACGGGUGAGUAACACGUGGAUAACCUCCCUAUAAGACUGGGAUAACUUCGGGAAACCGGAGCUAAUACCGGAUAAUAUAUUGAACCGCAUGGUUCAAUAGUGAAAGACGGUUUUGCUGUCACUUAUAGAUGGAUCCGCGCCGCAUUAGCUAGUUGGUAAGGUAACGGCUUACCAAGGCAACGAUGCGUAGCCGACCGGGGAGGGUGAGCGGCCACACUCGAACUGAGACACGGUCCAGACUCCUACGGGAGGCAGCAGUAGGGGAUCUGCCGCAAUGGGCGAAAGCCUGACGGAGCAGCGCCGCGUGAGUGAGGGAGGUCUUCGGAUCGUAAAACUCUGUUACUAGGGAAGAACAAAUGUGUAAGUAACUAUGCACGUCUUGACGGUACCUAAUCAGAAAGCCACGGCUAACUACGUG